rnacentral:rRNA from 1 species
UACGUAGGGGGCGAGCGUUGUCCGGAAUCAUUGGGCGUAAAGAGCGUGUAGGCGGCCCGGUAAGUCCGCUGUGAAAGUCCAGGGCUCAACCCUGGGAUGCCGGUGGAUACUGUCGGGCUCGAGUCCGGAAGAGGCGAGUGGAAUUCCUGGUGUAGCGGUGAAAUGCGCAGAUAUCAGGAGGAACACCUAUGGCGAAGGCAGCUCGCUGGGACGGUACUGACGCUGAGACGCGAAAGCGUGGGGAGCGAACAGG